CCUACGGGAGGCAGCAGUGAGGAAUAUUGGUCAAUGGGCUUACGCCUGAACCAGCCAAGUCGCGUGAGGGAAGACUGCCCUAUGGGUUGUAAACCUCUUUUGUCAGGGAGCAAUUGGCGCUACGUGUAGCGUUAUCGAGAGUACCUGAAGAAAAAGCAUCGGCUAACUCCGUGCCAGCAGCCGCGGUAAUACUGAGGAUGCGAGCGUUAUCCGGAUUGAUUGGGUUUAAAGGGUGCGUAGGCGGAAUGCCAAGUCAGCGGUAAAAUCGCGGGGCUCAACCUCGCUCCGCCGUUGAAACUGGCGUUCUUGAGUGGGCGAGAAGUAUGCGGAAUGCGUGGUGUAGCGGUGAAAUGCAUAGAUAUCACGCAGAACUCCGAUUGCGAAGGCAGCAUACCGGCGCCCAACUGACGCUGAAGCACGAAAGCGUGGGUAUCGAACAGGAUUAGAUACCCUUGUAGUC
rnacentral:rRNA from 1 species